rnacentral:rRNA from 1 species
GACGAACGCUGGCGGCGUGCCUAAUACAUGCAAGUUGAGCGCUGAAGGUUGGUACUUGUACCGACUGGAUGAGCAGCGAACGGGUGAGUAACGCGUGGGGAAUCUGCCUUUGAGCGGGGGACAACAUUUGGAAACGAAUGCUAAUACCGCAUAAAAACUUUAAACACAAGUUUUAAGUUUGAAAGAUGCAAUUGCAUCACUCAAAGAUGAUCCCGCGUUGUAUUAGCUAGUUGGUGAGGUAAAGGCUCACCAAGGCGAUGAUACAUAGCCGACCUGAGAGGGUGAUCGGCCACAUUGGGACUGGGACACGGCCCAAACUCCUACGGGAGGCAGCAGUAGGGAAUCUUCGGCAAUGGACGAAAGUCUGACCGAGCAACGCCGCGGGAGUGAAGAAGGUUUUCGGAUCGUAAAACUCUGUUGGUAGAGAAGAACGUUGGUGAGAGUGGAAAGCGCAUCAAGUGACGGUAACUACCCAGAAAGGGACGGCUAACUACGUG